CCUACGGGCGGCAGCAGUGAGGAAUAUUGGUCAAUGGGCGAGAGCCUGAACCAGCCAAGUCGCGUGAGGGAAGACGGUCCUAUGGAUUGUAAACCUCUUUUGCCGGGGAGCAAAAAGCGGUACGUGUACAGCAUCGAGAGGACCCGGAGAAAAAGCAUCGGCUAACUCCGUGCCAGCAGCCGCGGUAAUACGGAGGGUGCAAGCGUUACCCGGAAUGACUGGGCGUAAAGAGAGCGUAGGCGGGGUAAUAAGUGCGAGGUGAAAUCCUGUGGCUUAACUACAGAACUGCAUUUGAAACGGUUACUCUGGAGUGUGAGAGAGGUAGGUGGAAUUCUUGGUGUAGGGGUAAAAUCCGUAGAGAUCAAGAAGAAUACUCAUGGCGAAGGCGACCUGCGGGAACAUUACUGACGCUGAUGCACGAAAGCGUGGGGAGCAAACAGGAUUAGAUACCCCGGUAGUC
rnacentral:rRNA from 1 species